GGGUGCAUUACCGGGCGAUUUCUCCUUUGGCAGCGACCUCAACAUUACUUCCGAAUCAGGGACGGGCGCUGCCAAAGGAGAUUUGCCCAGCAAUGCAUCU
rfam:Ananas comosus cultivar MD2 ACMD2_Scaffold_1222, whole genome shotgun sequence.